AACUGUCUCCUUCCUCCAAUCAAUGAAAUUGAUCUUCUCGUGAAGAAGCGAGAAUAUUAUUAUUAGACGAGAAGACCCCAUGGAGCUUUAAACUUAUUACCAAUUACUUAACCGCUAAACCAUAAUAUGUAGUAAAAAUGUUCUUAAUAGUUUUCGGCUGGGGUGGCCCUGGAGUAAAAUAAACCCUCCAGAAUGAACGGAAUAAGACCCUAAUCUAAGAAUUACAGCUCAAAGAAUCAAAAAACUGACAUUAUUGAUCCAAUUAAUUGAUUAACGAAACAAGUUACCCUGGGGAUAACAGCGCAAUCCAUUUUGAGAGCCCCUAUCAACAAAUGGGUUUACGACCUCGAUGUUGGAUCGGGGUAUCCCGGUGGCGCAGCCGCUACUAAUGGUUCGUUUGUUCAACGAUUAACAACCCCACGUGAUCUGANUC
rnacentral:rRNA from 1 species